rnacentral:misc_RNA from 1 species
ACAACCCCAUCACAAAGAGUGUGGUAUUGGCAGAAGUGGGUAGGGCCAGCAAUGCUGGCCCCACUCUGCUGGAAUGAAUAGGCCGGAAAUGUAGACCAUGGUAAUAGACUUUCAGAGUAUUUUAAGAUGCUAAAUUAGUUUGUAGACUGGUCAGAAUCCAGGCCAUUGGACCCCCAUUCUGUGUAAAGCAGUAA